CGUUGAGAUUUCAAACUGAGAUUCUUUCCCUCCCUGUUCCAGGUCAGGUGGGAGAAAUAAAGGGGUAUGUCAGAGCCUUCGGCACCAGCAGCGUCAUUUUGAGGAAAUCAUCUUAAACAUCAGAAAAAGCUCUCUGAACAAAACACAUCCACUACAUCACUCAUCAGGAACAUGCAGAACAUUGAACAAAAGGGAAAUAUUAAGUAAAUUAUGGCACAUCCGAUACUUGACUGGAAAAGCCUGAAGACAUUAACUGCCAUGUUUAUGAAGCACUGGUUACAAAACAGGAAAAGGCUGGCGUUGUCACCAGCAAAAAAAAAAAAAAAAAAGCAGGAUAUACAUCUGAAUAUAGGGAAUGACGACAAAGCCUUUAAAAAACCGACCAACCACCAAGUGACACAGGCCUGGGAAGAACUCCAUCAAAA
rnacentral:lncRNA from 1 species